rnacentral:rRNA from 1 species
CACGUAGGGGGCAAGCGUUGUCCGGAUUUAUUGGGCGUAAAGAGCUCGUAGGCGGCUUAGUAAGUCGGGUGUGAAACCUCCAGGCUCAACCUGGAGACGCCACCCGAUACUGCUGUGGCUAGAGUCCGGUAGGGGAGCGUGGAAUUCCUGGUGUAGCGGUGAAAUGCGCAGAUAUCAGGAGGAACACCUAUGGCGAAGGCAGCUCGCUGGGACGUUACUGACGCUGAGACGCGAAAGCGUGGGGAGCAAACGGG